AGUCACAGGUUGAGAAGGCUCUAAGGUUGUGUUACUUAAAAUUUAAGGUUGCUCUAAGUUUACUUAUAUAUGUACGAUGCUAUCUACUCGUAUCACAACGCCAUCUAUUAAUCAGAAAAUGUACCAAAUUUUACUAAAUAGAAAAAAUUAAAUUUUACUGUUAUAAAUAAAUAUAAGACGAGUAUUUUAUACUCGACCUAAAACAAUAAAACGUGAAAAUAUACGAUGCUUAAUACGAG
rnacentral:misc_RNA from 1 species